UUAAUAAAUUGUAUUGGAAUACUACUAGCCUUUUUCAUGUUUGUUCUUCAAUGAAAGUGCCUAGUUAGUAACCUAUAAGCUCUCUAUUUUUGUAGAGAAAGGUGUUUCUUUGGGUGUAAGGCUACUCCUUGUCGGUUUCUCACGGCUGCUCUUGUCCUUUCUUGAUAAGAGUGGCUCAUCUCUCAUUCGCCUGGAUGUGGGUUCUCUCUCUCUCUCUGGAUAAAGUUGUAAAUACUUUUGACUAUUUCUUAGUUUUCGGUGAACAGCGCUUAAAGAGUACCUUGUCUUGAUUUAUUUGGUCUUUUCUGAUUUUUUUUUUCUUUUUUGUAUGUGCAGAUUUUAACUUUCUAGAUUUUUGUUUUUCAAAGAAUCAUGAUGAUUGAAGGCCGCAAUGAUGUGGAGCUGGUUUUUCGGUACACCCUCCUCCUAUUCCAUCAGUAGUGUUAAGAUCUAGAGGUUCUCCCAUACUCAGAGGCCACGACUGGGUUCCAUUGUGAAAGAUUGACAUUCCCUUUCUCAAGCAUCUAACUCAUUGUGUGUAUAUACUCCUUCACCUUUCUUUUCUCAAGCGCCGGACUCAUCGUCUCAAUUUGACUCGGUAUUCAUAUGCCCCUCAGCCUCUCAAUCACAACAUUCUCGUCAUAGUCUGGCUCAGUAUGCUAUGCCCCUCAACUUCUCAAUUACAGCAUUCUGCAUUCUCCUCAAUUUGAAAGCUUUGACUCGUAGAGGAGAGCAUUGUUGUCUUAAUCAUGGCUUCACUUGCAAUAGAGAGCAUCAUUUUUUGUUUUAUGUUUGUCCGGGUCUUGAAUUUUUAGGGUUGAGUAUUAAUUGGGAUUUUAUUUUUUAGCUCUAAAAUCCCUGUUUGUAAUGCCUAUUUGUUGUGGUGGGCUUCUUGUUGCAUCUUUGGGCUUCUGUUGAGCCUUUGAGAAAAAAAAAAAAAAUCCGUCCUUUAACACUUCCUUUGUACUCGUUUUACGUAAACAACAGUAGUUAAUGCACAAACCGAUAAUGGCAUUCCAUUGGUUUCCACAAGGUACACUAAGCAAUUUUCAUGCCUUUCAGAUGAAGUUGAAGGCAAAAACAAAAUAAAAAUUUUAAAAAGGGCCCUCUGGGCAUAUUAUCCUACUUGGUAUUUCAAUCAUAAUUCAUAAACCAUAGUUAUUGAAUCAAAAAUAAUUCCCUUCUUUUUCUUUCUUUUUCUCUCUUU